rnacentral:lncRNA from 1 species
GCAAACUCGAAUCCAUAGAUCAACGUGGGAAAAUAACCUUUAGCACUUCCUUUUCCAAUUAUCAAACAAAUGGACAAAACUAUGGGUCAUGACUAUUGAAGCACUAACUAAAAAUGCACGUUACUGUUUUAUCUUUCAAAAGACAAACUAACUUCCCCAAUUAUUGAAUACCCCCUAAGGCUAGUCCCAACAGUUAGAGCAAAGAACACUUGGGACUGAUUUGGCCAUUGUAAAGCCAUAAUCCCAAAAAUGGCUGCAUUGAGCUUAACAUUACAAACAGAACACAAAACACGCAUGAAAGGGCCAGAUAAAACAACACUUGACUGAAUUUCACAACCUGUAGCUACCAAUUAUUACUCCCCUAAAAUUUUUUGCUCAAUGGCCUAUAUGCUUGACUAAUCACAAUCGACUUGAGAUUAACACUUGAUUUGUUAAACAAAUCAUGUGAUAUGGAAACAAUAACACUAAGCUAAAGAGCCAAGACAUGUUGAGGCCAUUUCAUUCAUUCUGAAAAUCAAAACUUCACACAUGGCUUUAGAUUCAGAAAAUGUGUACCUGGAAAGCAAAAUAAGAGAAAAAGAUGGGGAUCAGCAGCAGAAUAGUAUCAGUAGAUAAACAGCAACACCAGCUCGAACCCCAGGAAUGAUGUAUACCAAACUUCAAGUAAAUUGUUGAACAGCCAACAAACCCGCUAAAAACUUUAAACCAAAAGCUUUUGAUAACUGAAUUCAAUCCAUUUUUAUUCAAUAGCUUGAAGGAAUUUCAGAGGUUGAGAGGAAACCAAAAUUGCUAAAAAGCAAACCAAUAAAACAGUAAAGAAGAACUCUCAACCGUUGGUAUUUUCAGUUCUUUUUCUCUCUUCAUCCCCCUCCUCUACAGAAUGAAAAAUGAACUUAUAUAGACCUGCCUAGGGCAACUCUAAGGCAACCAACCAAUUCCUCAUUUACCCUCCUUGCCUUGAGUGUUUUUUUUACCCUUUUAACCCUCUUUCAAAAAUAUCUCCCAUCCCAGCUCUUAUGUCAUUCUGUAGAAGCUUCUAUUCUAACAGAGUUUUAUUCCCUCACAUCCCAAAAUUCCUAAAUUGACCUCUAACCAACUAACUAUUACAGUCUCUGCCCUUUCCUUUGAGACCCCUUUAAGUUUCAAACCUGACAAUUAACCCCUCUACUGAUUCAAGAAGAGUGACAAACAGGACUAAACGAACACAAAAGGCAUUGCACAUAUCAAAAUGAAAUUCUCGGAAGACCUCAAAAAAGAACUUGAACAAUUUCAAAGUUGUAAAGAAGAAACAAAUUUUGCCUUGAAUCAAACAUGAUCAUGAACUUCACAAGAACACUAAGCCAAUUAAACAUUGUCCAUAUUCAACUAGAAAAGGAAAUCAGCAAACUUAUUUAACUAACACAUGACUUAACGAUUUUAGACCUAAAUUAACUAAAACGACUAAUGAUCUAUUAAUCAAUUAUGAACUUAAACAGGGAAGAAGAAUAGAAAAAGGAACACGAACAAAAGUACAAAAAUACCUGAGGGUAGAAUCAAAAACAAAACUCACUAAAGAAGCCAACGACCAAGAUUACUUCGAAUUAAACGGAAACUGAGGAUAAUCAAUUGCUUUUUGACAAGAACAUCCCAUUAGCCUUUGUUCCCGGCUAAUUCGAAACUUGAAACUUCCCAGGAAGCUAAGCGUGGAUUCAUGACUUGGGGGACGACAUCAAGGUUUUCCUUAGAGUUUAGCCGUUAAAUCGACAUGAGGGAAGGCUAAUGGUGCAGGGACUUGAGUUUUUGAGCGAUUUGGGACAGAUUAAGUUUUUUUUUGGUUUGGUUUUCGAUUGAAGAUUCAAGAUGCACCAGUGGGAUUCGAAGGAACUAGGUUAGGGAUUCUGGAAGAGGACGGGAAGAGGGUCUUGGGGUGUUAAUUUGGGGCCAAUUGGAUGAGUUAGGGUUUUGGUCGUUCUCUUUUAUUCAAGAUUCGAGAGGUUGGGCUGGGAUUCGAGGGAGGGGGUUUGGAGAUUUGGAAAGAGGAGAAGGAGAGGAAUCUAUGGUGUAAAAAUGGGGCCGAUUGGAGCAACGCCGCCAGCGGAGGCGAUUUCCGGUAGGCGACUCACGGCGGAUACGGUGAGGGGUUCUCUGAGGGUGUGUGG